UCAACGUUUUGCUUCUUAUAAGUUCCCAAUUUGACUUGUACAACUUUUGAAUGGAAACAAAAUAAUUUUGUAAAAUGUCUUUUUACCAAGGAAAGAAUAGGUUUUGUUAACUAACUCCAUAAAUGACUGCUAUUUUUAUACGACCGCAAAAAAAUUUUUGUGGUCGUAUAUUGGUAUGACGUUGGCGUCGUCGUCGUCGUCCGGCGUCGUCGUCCGAAGACGCAUUAGUUUUCGCACUCUAACUUUAGUUUAAGUGAAUGGAUCUCUAUGAAAUUUUACCAUAAGGUUCAAUACCACAAAAGGAAGGUGGGGAUUGAUUUUGGGGGUUAUGGUACCAACAGUUAAGGAAUUAGGGGCCAAAAAGGGGCUAAAAAUAAGCAUUUUCUAGUUUCCAGACAAUAACUGUGGAACGGUGUAUGGAUCUCUCUGAAAUUAUACUACAAGUUUCCAUACCACAAAGGGAUGGUUAGGAUUUGCUUUGGGGGGUUAUUGCUCAAACCGUUUAAGAAUUAGGGGCAAAAAAGGGGGAAAAACAAGGUUGUCCUCAUUAAUGGACAAAUACUUUAGUACAAAACAUAAUUUAAAGCAGUGUAAGGGAGAUAAAUCAAAGACAUCAUUGAAAUUAUCUCCCUUACACUGCUUUUAAAUUAUGUAUAAAGUAAUGGUUAAUGAACAAUUAAGAUAAUCUAAAACAGUGUAAGGGAGGUAAUCCAAAUACAACGUUUUGGUUACUUCCCUUACACUGCUUUUAAAUUAUGUUUAAAGAAAUGCAUAUUUAUAAAGGAAGACCAGUAUGGCGCAUUAGAUUUGUAAAAUCUGUGACCACAUUUAUUUAUUUGUUAUGCCAAAUCUAACCGUGUAUUUAGAUUUUUAAUUUUGGGUACAGUUUUCAAAUUGGUCUACAUUAAGGUCCAAAGGGUCCAAAAUUAAACUUUGUUUGAUUUUAACAAAAAUUGAAUUUAUGGGGUUCUUUGAUAUGCUGAAUCUAAACAUGUAUUUAGAUUUUUGAUUUUUGGCCCAGUUUUCAAGUUGGUCCAAAUUGGGGUCCAAAAUUAAACUUUGUUUGAUUUCAUCAAAAAUUGAAUUAUUGGGGUUCUUUGAUAUGCCAAAUCUAACCAUGUAUUUAGAUUUUUAAUUUUGGGUCCUGUUUUUUAAAUUGGUCUACAUUAAGGUCCAAAGGGUCCAAAAUUAAACUUAGUUUGAUUUUAACAAAAAUUGAAUUCUUGGGGUUCUUUGAUAUUUUGAAUCUAAACAUGUGUUUAGAUUUUUGAUUAUGGGCCCAGAUUUCAAGUUGGUCCAAGUUGGGGUCCAAAAUUAAACUUUGUUUGAUUUCAACAAAAAUUGAAUAUAUGGGGUUCUUUGAUAUGCUGAAUCUUACCAUGUAUUUAGAUUUUUUAUUUGUGGGCCCGCUAUCAAAUUGGUUCAUAUUGAGGUCAAAAGGGUCCAAAAUUAAACUUUGUUUGAUUUCAUCAAAAAUUGAAUUAUUGGGGUUCUUUGAUAUGCCAAAUCUAACCGUGUAUUUAGAUUUUUAAUUUUGGGUCCCGUUUUUUAAAUUGGUCUACAUUAAGGUCCAAAGGGUCCAAAAUUAAACUUAGUUUGAUUUUAACAAAAAUUGAAUUCUUGGGGUACUUUGAUAUGCUGAAUCUAAACAUGUGUUUAGAUUUUUGAUAAUGGGACCAGUUUUCAAGUUUGUCCAAGUUGGGGUCCAAAAUUAAACUUUGUUUGAUUUCAACAAAAAUUGAAUAUAUGGGGUUCUUUGAUAUGCUGAAUCUAACCAUGUAUUUUGAUUUUGGACAUUGGACCAUAAUAGGUAAAUUAAAAAAAUUGAAGUUCUUAGACCACAUUCUUUCUGUGUCAGAAACCUAUGCUGUGUCAAAUAUUUAAUCACAAUCCAAAUUCAGAGCUGUAUCAAGCUUGAAUGUUGUGUCCAUACUUGCCCCAACUGUUCAGGGUUCGACCUCUGCGGUCGUAUCAAGCUGCGCCCAGCGAAGCAUUUUAUUAUUUCCUG